ensembl:lncRNA
CCUACGUAUGCCCUUCACUGAAGAGGUCAAGUACUGUAUCCUGGGAAUCUCUGCAGCCCUCUUCCUGAUUGCUCUGAGCAUUCUGGUGUGGCAAUUAUACCGAUACCGCUCAUAUGCUCCAAGGAAACCUCUUGAUGAGUUACUUUCAUCUGAUGGCAAGCCAGCAAAGACUGGAGUCUUCCACACAGAAACCCAGAGGCCUAACUUUAAGGUGGAGAAGCUCCAUGAAGAGGCGCGGAGGUUGAGCAAUUGCCUGUCCAUGGGCAGCCAUGUGGAGUUGCUCAGCCUGGAGGAUCAGCAGGAAGAGGUGGUGGUGCAGGGCUCCCUGCGCUUUUCCCUCUACUAUGACCAGCUGCAGUCCAGACUGGUGGUCACCCUUCUGGAAGCCUGGGGUCUGCCAGUGAGGGACUUAAGUUGCAGUGUGGACCCCUUUGUGAGGGUCCGGCUGCUAUGGGCCGGGCAGGAGAAGGAGAAAGAGGAGCAGUCCUCUCCUUCGCUGCAGUGUGUGCUCCAUGAGUGGCAGUCCCAUAUGGUGAAGGACAGCAACAGCCCAAUGUUUGGGGACCAGUUCUCCUGCUCUCUGGAGGAGGAGGAUGUCCC